UUUUUGAUAUGUUUGUUUUCCGUGAAGUCGGUUAUUGAAUUUAAAAAUAGAACUUUACACGAUAUCUCCUUUUUUAUUUAAUUAUAGUAAAAAUGAUACAAGAAAAUAAUAAAAUUCAGCCAAAAACAGAAAGAAAAAAUUAAAUAAAAACAAAGGUCCCGUAGAAAGUGGGAACACGAAGAAAGCAGGAACAAAGUUGAUGUGAG
rnacentral:lncRNA from 1 species